UGUAGCCACUCCUAAAUGGCCUGGUAAACUGUUAACAUCCUAAUUGCAUAUUAACUUCAGAUAACUUUAAGUCUGCUCUUUGGAAUUUUGAAGAUCUGGUGAUAUGCUUUGAACUACAGGAGUUGGCAGUACUACCUAUUUGUCAAAUAUGCAUCCUUGAUAUGUUACAGUACAACUGCUGGAUCUAAUUCUACUGCAAAAUGAGGAAUGUAUUAAUAGGCCGUAACUUACUGACUUGAAACCGAUCU
rnacentral:lncRNA from 1 species